GGUCAGUGUCCGAGUUGUCCUCACUGGAUUGGGACUGUUCUUCUGGAAUGGGUUGAUUUCUCCUCCUCGGCCGGGGAGCAUUAGCUCGAUCCCUCCCAGCUAUAUGAGCCAGCUGCUCAGUUACAGUAGCCAGUGCGGCUUGGAGUUCAGCAUGGUUAGCCAUCAGUUGAGCAUUGAUCUCGGCUUGUGUUGGUGCUCCAUUUAGAUCUCCCAUGUCGCCUGUGACAAAAGAGGAAGAAAGAAAAGUGAUCUGCAAGGGAUCAAAGAAAAAGGAGGAAGAUACCUAAAUAGAUAUGCAAUUGAAUGUUAAACUUCCUUUUUUUUUUUUUUAUAAGUUUUCGAAAAUUAAAAUAUGGAAAGUAUAAACUUCCCUUUUUUUUUUUUUUUUAAAUUUUGGAAAAACUUGGAGUGCAAUCCAAGGAAAAAUUAAAUGCAAUUAAAUGGAAAUCCGCAAAAUGGAAAGUAAGAAAAAUCGAUGGAUCAAGAUAUGCCAAAAGGAAAAAUAUGGUUUUGAACUCGCCAAGAACAGCAAGAACACAAUGCAAUUUUUUUGAAGUUC
rnacentral:lncRNA from 1 species